rnacentral:rRNA from 1 species
UACAGAGGUCUCAAGCGUUUGUUCGGAUUCAUUGGGCGUAAAGGGUGCGUAGGUGGCGGGGUAAGUCAGGUGUGAAAUUUCGGAGCUUAACUCCGAAACUGCAUUUGAUACUGCCUUGCUUGAGGACUGGAGAGGAGACUGGAAUUCACGGUGUAGCAGUGAAAUGCGUAGAGAUCGUGAGGAAGACCAGUGGCGAAGGCGGGUCUCUGGACAGUUUCCUGACACUGAG